UAUAACAUAUGACCUCGGGGGCAUUAUUUACUAUUUCUAUUUGCUGUUCUGAUAUUUAUACAAAAUUAUGUUAACCUAUCUCACUUUUACAGGAGACAUGAAGAGAAUGAUAAUGACAGGACUGGGAGUAACAAGUAUUAUUUAAAGAGAACACGAAGAACUGAGGAAGAGAAUGAUAGGAGUAACAAGGAUUUCAAGAGAGCACGAACAGAGGAAGAGAAUGGUAAAGGUGACAGUGAUAGUGACAGAGAUAUACGGGGAAUACGGGUAAUUACUACAAGGAUAUCUCUUAAUGAGGCUGAAUAUCUAAACAUCGGAUCCACCAUUUCGAUAAUCAAUAAAAAGUUGAUGAGCGCUGAUGUAAAAAUCAAAUAUUUCCAACAAAGUUUAAAGGUGUUGCAAACACAAAUGCUGAAAGACGUGAGAUUCAACGAGCUUCUUGAUCAAAGAAAACAAGAACUUGUAAAACAUCACGAGUCAUUAAUGCUACUGGUGACACAAUUAGCACCUGAAUAAUU